rnacentral:pre_miRNA from 1 species
UAUAAUAUUUUGACUCUUUGUCUUAUUUGAAAUUUUUUACGAGUAAUAUUUUUAUUCUUACUAAAUGAUAAAACAUAAACAAUACUUUAUGCAUGACUAAUUUUUUUUAAUUUUUUUAUAAAUUUUUUAAAUAAGACGAAUGGUCAAAUGUUGGACACGGACAAAC